rnacentral:rRNA from 1 species
ACUGCAGGCUGCAACUCGCCUGCACGAAGUCGGAAUUGCUAGUAAUCGUAGGUCAGCAUACUACGGUGAAUACGUUCCCGGGCCUUGUACACACCGCCCGUCACACCAUGGGAGUCGGUAACACCCAAAGUUGGUAGUCUAACCGCAAGGAGGACGCCGCCUAAGGUGGGAUUGAUGACUGGGGUGAAGUCGUAACAAGGUACC